rnacentral:rRNA from 1 species
UACGUAGGGUGCAAGCGUUGUCCGGAAUUAUUGGGCGUAAAGAGCUCGUAGGCGGCUUGUCACGUCGGCUGUGAAAACCCGGGGCUCAACCCCGGGCCUGCAGUCGAUACGGGCAGGCUAGAGUCCGGUAGGGGAGACUGGAAUUCCUGGUGUAGCGGUGAAAUGCGCAGAUAUCAGGAGGAACACCGGUGGCGAAGGCGGGUCUCUGGGCCGGAACUGACGCUAAGGAGCGAAAGCGUGGGGAGCGAACAGG